rnacentral:misc_RNA from 1 species
GAUGAAGAACGCAGCGAAAUGCGAUACGUAAUGUGAAUUGCAAAUUCAGUGAAUCAUCGAGUCUUUGAACGCACAUUGCGCCCCCUGGUAUUCCGGGGGGCAUGCCUGUCCGAGCGUCAUUGCUGCCCUCAAGCACGGCUUGUGUGUUGGGCCCCGUCCUCCGAUCCCGGGGGACGGGCCAGAAAGGCAGCGGCGGCACCGCGUCCGGUCCUCGAGCGUAUGGGGCUUUGUCACCCGCUCUGUAGGCCCGGCCUGCGCUUGCCGAUCAACCCAAAUUUUUUAUCCAGGUUGACCUCGGAUCAGGUAGGGAUACCCGCUGAACUUAAGCAUAUCAAUAAGCGGAGGA